GUCUUAAAGAAUUUAAUUUUAAGUCCAAUCUGCCCAAUGAUAUAUUAAAUGGCUGCAGUAUUUCUAACUGUACAAAGGUAGCAUAAUAAUUUGUUUUUUAAUUAAAAACUAGAAUGAAAGAUUAGAUGAAAUAAAAACUGUUUCAAUUAAAUAAAAUUAAAUUUUUUAUUUAAGUAAAAAAACUUAAAUAUUAUAUAAAGACGAUAAGACCCUAAAGAAUUUUAUUUAUUUAAUUAAAAAUAUUUUUAACUAAAUAAAUUUAAUUGGGGUAAUUAAAAAAUUAAAUAAAUUUUUUUUUAAAAAAACAUUAUAUAUGAAUUAUUUAUCUUAAUUUUUAAAUUAAAAAUAUUAAUUACCUUAGGGAUAACAGCAUAAUUUUUUUUGAAAGUUCUUAUUUAUAAAAAAGAUUAU
rnacentral:rRNA from 1 species